rnacentral:lncRNA from 1 species
UUUUCUUAAAAUGUUCUUGUUUUGUCCACUUGUUACAUGAAGUUAGAAUAUGAGGCCUAUUGACCAUAUUUUGCACGUUUAGAUCGUGCCAUUUUAUUGAUUUAUGGGUCAUUGGAAUGAAACAGUUCAAAAAGAGUUGGGCUUAAGGAAGUACAAAAUUUUAUUGGGGUAGUUUAAAAAGUACAUGUAGUCGUUAAUCUAGGUGGGUGAUAGGAAUAUGUUUUCAUUUUUGCAGCUUAAAGGUGUCUGCUACACAUGCUUAUGAUAUUUAUGGUCAUAUUAGCCUCGAAUGUAUAUGCUUAUGACCAACAUUUGAAGUACUCAUAGUUGAAUUGAAAAUAUCAUGGUUUCAGAGGGUAAAGGGAGCUGCUCGUUUUUAUUAAAAGCUAAAAGCUGGGCAUCUUCUUGAUAGGACUCUGCUGGAAGAAAAUAACAACUGAGAAAUAUUAUUUAAUUCUGAAUGAAUUUCACAGAAAUGCGAAUUAUAGCAAACUUCUAAUAGACUUCUCCUCGCUAAUUUCCCCUAACAGACUUUGGCUUUCCACCCACUUGCAGCUUAUUCUUCUUCUGGGUCCUUCUAGAAUGAGUGAGGUGGAUUGGAGCCUAUCAAAUCCCUCAGUUUCCAAAUACAUCUUGUCCUUAAGGUGGGAGUCAGGGAAGUGAUAUAGGCUUUUAUGAUUCCCAUGAAGCUUCAUAUGCUAGUAAGCCUUUUGGGUCAGAUUUUUCUUGUGAAGCUUUUAACAACAUAUUGUGGUCCUGAAUGCGUUGGGCCACUUGCAUUAGAUGGCCAACCCUUUUGGGCUUAAUAACUUGAUUUUAGCCCUAAUAUCUAGCUUUAACCGAUUAAAAAAAGUGUUUUCCGAUACAUCCUCCAGUAUGUCUCUCAAAGGUGCAGCCAACACCUCAUAACUCUUAUCAAAAUUAAGCUACUAUACCGCCUUGAUUUAUUGCCUGGAGCUUCUCAUAGAUACUCUCCACCUAAGUUGGCCGAAAAUGCUGCAAGAUAUGCUGCUUGAAUUGUUGCUAGUUUUGGAAAGGCAUCAUUGCCUCUGUCGAUUGGAACCAUGUUAAGGCAUCAGGAUUAUCUCCACCGAACAUGGGCACUUCCAGUUUCUGGUUCCUCUAGUUCCUUUACUUUGCUCAAGAUCUGCUGUAUCUCCUCCAUAGCUUGCUUUGCCCAAACCUUCAGGACCCUUUCCACAAUCCUUAUUUUUUUUUAUCACCUAUGGGACUAUUGUGAGCGUUUGGGAAUGUUGGUCUCUCCGUGAUGAUUCCAGUUCCUUUACCUUCCAGCUUCCUAUUCAUUGCUGCUUUAGGGAGGGUAAUUGAUGCCACAGAUUUCUAAAUUUUUUCCAUUGUUUUUCCCCUCUUAAGAGACUUUGGUUUUCUACCCACUUGCAGCUUAUUAUUCUUCUGGGUCCUCCUAAAAUGAGUGAGGUGGAAAUUAAGUGCUGGUGUUGCUAAUGAAGGGAUGUAUUGCUCUUCAGUUUCUUAUAUUUUCUUAUGGAUAUACACCUCAUUGACUCGGGCUUGAAGAAGGUAAAUUUUUCCUUUUCUUGUUCUGGAAGUUUGGGAAAAAACUAAUUAUCACUUGCUAAUUAGCUCUUUUGUUAAUUUAGUAGCUUGCACAACAUUACAUUUGCUUGAGACUAGAAGAAUGGCUGCAAUUUAUGACUAGAUUUUAAGUUUUACUUCCUCUGUCUAUGAUUCAAUAAUCUUAUUUGUUCUUUUGCAUUUCCAUUAAUGAUUACUUUAUCGAAAACUAGACAUUUUGUUUGAUGAAUUCCCUCGUUUUAAAGUACUCGUUAGGAUUUUCUUGGAUUCUUAGCUAUUGAUUUUUUAGGGUAAAAACGAAGAGUUUCACCUAACUUUCACCUUUUCAACUUCUAACAAACUCCAAGACAUGCAAUUAUGAAUGGAGUAAUAGUUAAUUUGAAGCUUGAUCAUUAGGAAUCAAUUUCAAAAAAAUAAAUCUAAUCAAGUUCCCAAGUAGCAAGAAUUCAGAAUUUAUUCCAUUUUUAAAAUUACACAUGUUUCUGAUUAGAAAAGUAUUACAUCGACGAUGUUCCAAAUUUUUGAUAUGG